UACAGAGGGUGCGAGCGUUGUCCGGAAUCACUGGGCGUAAAGGGCGCGUAGGUGGCGACCCAAGUCGAUGGUGAAAGCUCGCCGCUCAACGGCGAGUCGGCCACCGAUACUGGGUUGCUCGAGCACUGUAGAGGCGAAUGGAAUUCCGGGUGUAGCGGUGGAAUGCGUAGAGAUCCGGAAGAACACCGGUGGCGAAGGCGGUUAGCUGGGCAGUUGCUGACACUGAGGCGCGAAAGCGUGGGGAGCAAACAGG
rnacentral:rRNA from 1 species